AGUGAACGCUGGCGGUAGGCCUAACACAUGCAAGUCGAACGGCAGCACAGUAAGAGCUUGCUCUUACGGGUGGCGAGUGGCGGACGGGUGAGGAAUACAUCGGAAUCUACUUUCUCGUGGGGGAUAACGUAGGGAAACUUACGCUAAUACCGCAUACGACCUACGGGUGAAAGCAGGGGAUCUUCGGACCUUGCGCGAUUGAAUGAGCCGAUGUCGGAUUAGCUAGUUGGCGGGGUAAAGGCCCACCAAGGCGACGAUCCGUAGCUGGCCUGAGAGGAUGAUCAGCCACACUGGAACUGAGACACGGUCCAGACUCCUACGGGAGGCAGCAGUGGGGAAUAUUGGACAAUGGGCGCAAGCCUGAUCCAGCCAUACCGCGUGGGUGAAGAAGGCCUUCGGGUUGUAAAGCCCUUUUGUUGGGAAAGAAAAGCAGCAGGUUAAUACCCCGCUGUUCUGACGGUACCCAAAGAAUAAGCACCGGCUAACUUCGUG
rnacentral:rRNA from 1 species